CAAAAACAUGUCCUCUUGAACUAAUAUUUUGAGGUCUGGCCUGCUCACUGAAAAUUUUAAAGAGCCGCGGUAUUUUGACCGUGCAAAGGUAGCAUAAUCAUUAGUCUUUUAAUUAAGGGCUGGAAUGAAUGGCUUGACGAGAAAUUAACUGUCUCUUAAUAAUUUAUAUAAUUUAACUUUUAAGUCAAAAGGCUUAAAUUUUUCUUUAGGACGAGAAGACCCUAUAGAGCUUGACAUUUUAUUUAUAUAUAGUUUUUAGUUGGUCUUUCUAUAUAUGAUGAUAAUGUUUUGUUGGGGUGACAUGAAGAAUAAAUAAACUCUUCAUUAUAAAAUCAUUUAUUUAUGUUUAUUUUGAUCCAUAAUUUAUGAUCAUAAGAUUAAGUUACCUUAGGGAUAACAGCGUAAUUGUUUUUGAGAGCUCAUAUUAACAAAGCAGAUUGCGACCUCGAUGUUGGAUUAAGAAAAGUUUUGGGUGC
rnacentral:rRNA from 1 species